UACGGAGGGUGCAAACGUUGCUCGGAAUCAUUUGGGCGUAAAGCGCACGUAGGCGGCCCGUUAAGUCGGAUGUGAAAGCCCUGGGCUCAACCCAGGAAGUGCAUUCGAAACUGGCAGGCUUGAGUAUGGAAGAGGGUCGCGGAAUUCCCGGUGUAGAGGUGAAAUUCGUAGAUAUCGGGAGGAACACCAGUGGCGAAGGCGGCGACCUGGGCCAAUACUGACGCUGAGGUGCGAAAGCGUGGGGAGCAAACAGG
rnacentral:rRNA from 1 species